AGCCCCGGGGCAGGCUGGAAGACUUGUGAUUUUGUUGUUUCCAAUGUCAAGGGGAGCAAACAACAAAUCCCAGUCUCCACCCUGCCCCGGGCA
rfam:Pelecanus crispus contig73516, whole genome shotgun sequence.